rnacentral:snoRNA from 1 species
AUCCCAUGAUGAGGACACUCGAGUGUGUAGUCUUAAAAGCGCUCCCAAGCUUCUGGGACUGUUGUUGACGGU